UGGGGAAUCUUGGACAAUGGGGGCAACCCUGAUCCAGCCAUGCCGCGUGAGUGAUGAAGGCCUUAGGGUCGUAAAGCUCUUUCGCCUGUGAAGAUAAUGACGGUAGCAGGUAAAGAAACCCCGGCUAACUCCGUGCCAGCAGCCGCGGUAAUACGGAGGGGGUUAGCGUUGUUCGGAAUUACUGGGCGUAAAGCGCACGUAGGCGGACCAGAAAGUUGGGGGUGAAAUCCCGGGGGCUCAACCCCGGAACUGCCUCCAAAACUAUUGGUCUAGAGUUCGAGAGAGGUGAGUGGAAUUCCAAGUGUAGAGGUGAAAUUCGUAGAUAUUUGGAGGAACACCAGUGGCGAAGGCGGCUCACUGGCUCGAUACUGACGCUGAGGUGCGAAAAGUGUGGGGGAGCAAAACAGGAUUAGAUACCCCUGGUAGUCCCACACCGUAAAACGAUGAAUGCCCAGUCGUCGGGGUAGCAUGCUAUUCGGUGACACACCUAACGGAUUAAGCAUUCCGCCUGGGGAGUAC
rnacentral:rRNA from 1 species